UGUUGCUUGCAAGGGCGUAUGGUGGAUGCCUUGGCAGACAGGACCGAUGAAGGACGUUUGAGGCUGCGAUAUGCCUCGGGGAGCCGCCAACAGGGCUUUGAUCCGAGGAUUUCCGAAUGGGGGAACCCACCGACCGUCAUGGGUCGGUACCGGCUUCGGCCGGGGGGUACGCAGGGAAGUGAAACAUCUCAGUACCUGCAGGAAAGGAUAUUCCGUGAGUAGUGGCGAGCGAAAGCGGAUGAUGGCCAAACCUUGCGCGUGUGAUACCCGUCGGGGGUUGCGCGCGGGGUGUUGCGGGAUCGCGUGCGCCGGCUCCGACGGGCCGGCCGGCAGUUGCAGAAAACCAUGUGUCAGGGGAACCGGGUUGAAUACCGGGCCGCAGAGGGUGAGGGCCCCGUACCUGAACGCGCAUGGUCUGCCGAUCGCGUCUCCCAAGUAGCACGGGUCCCGUGGAACCCCGUGCGAAUCCGCCCAGACCGUUGGGUAAGCCUGAAUAUUCCUGUCUGACCGAUAGCGAACGAGUACCGUGAGGGAAAGGUGAAAAGUACCCCGGGAGGGGAGUGAAACAGUCUCUGAAACCGUGCGCCUACAAUCCGUCGGAGCCCUUUUGUGGGGUGACGGCGUGCCUAUCGAAAAAUGAGUCUGCGAGUCAGUGGCAUGUGGCGAGCAUAACCCGUGUGGGGUAUGCGUAGCGAAGGCGAGUCUUAAAAGGCGUUUGAGUCGCGUGUCCUGGACCCGAAGCGGGAUGAUCUAGCCCUGAGCAGGUUGAAGCGCGGGUAAGACCGCGUGGAGGACCGAACCCACCUGGGUUGAAAACCGGGGGGAUGACUUGGGGCUAGGGGUGAAAGGCCAAUCAAAUUCCGUGAUAGCUGGUUCUCUCCGAAAUGCAUUUGGGUGCAGCGUCGGGUCAUUACGUCCCGGGGGUAGAGCUACUGGAUGCUUGCGGGCCCGUAUCGGGUACCAACAGCAACCAAACUCCGAAUACCGGUGACGCGUAUCCCGGCAGUGAGUCGGCGGGGGAUAAGCUUCGUCGUCGAAAGGGAAACAGCCCAGACCGUCGUCUAAGGUCCCGAAGCGUGUGCUAAGUGGGAAAGGAUGUGGAGUCGCAUAGACAGCCAGGAGGUUGGCUCAGAAGCAGCCACCCUUGAAAGAGUGCGUAACAGCUCACUGGUCUAGUGGUUCCGCGCCGACAAUGUAGCGGGGCUCAAGCACACCACCGAAGACGCGGCAGUAUUUUGUACUGGGUAGGAGAGCGUCCCAUGAGGGGCGAAGCGGCCGUGUGAACGCGCCGUGGACUUCAUGGGAGUGAGAAUGCAGACAUGAGUAGCGAGAGACGGGUGAAGAUCCCGUCCGCUGGAUGACCAAGGGUUCCAGGGCCACGUUCAUCGUCCCUGGGUGAGUCGGGUCCUAAGGCGAGGCCGACAGGCGUAGUCGAAUGGAUGAACGGGUCGAUAUUCCCGUACCGGCUUUCAGCCGCCAAAACCGAGGCUUGGAGUACUAACCUCCGGGUCCGGGCUUACUGCUCCUUCGGGGGCGGGAUGCCCUGGCCUGUUGGGACCGAUCCUUGUAGUAGGUCAGCGCAGGAGUGACGCAGAAGGGUAGCCGGCCGCGGAGGUGGUCUUCCGUGGUCAAGCACGCAGGGCGUGGGACAGGCAAAUCCGUCCCGCAUGGGUCCGAGGUGCGAUGAUGGGGGCCUUAUGGCCCGAUAUCCGGUGAUCCCGGCUGCCGAGAAAAGCUUCGGCGUCAGGCUCAAAGCCGCCCGUACCCCAAACCGACACAGGUGGUCAGGUAGAGAAUACCAAAGCGAUCGAGCGAAUCCUGGUCAAGGAACUCGGCAAAUCACUCCCGUUCCUUCGGUUUAAGGGAGACCCCCGAUGGUGAACACACUUGCUGUGGGAGCUUUUGGGGGUGGCACAGACCAGGGGGUAGCGACUGUUUACCAAAAACACAGGUGCAUGCGAAGGCGCAAGCCGCUGUAUAUGCACUGACGCCUGCCCGGUGCCGGAAGGUUAAGAGGAUCCGUCAGCCUUCGGGUGAAGCGGUGAAUUCAAGCCCCGGUAAACGGCGGUGGUAACUAUAACCAUCCUAAGGUAGCGAAAUUCCUUGUCGGGUAAGUUCCGACCUGCACGAAUGGCGUA
rnacentral:rRNA from 1 species